rnacentral:rRNA from 1 species
GAAGCCCAGGUAAACGGCGGCCGUAACAAUAACGGUCCUAAGGUAGCGAAAUUCCUUGUCGGGUAAGUUCCGACCUGCACGAAUGGCGUAACGAUGGCCACACUGUCUCCUCCUGAGACUCAGCGAAGUUGAAAUGUUUGUGAUGAUGCAAUCUCCCCGCGGAAAGACGGAAAGACCCCAUGAACCUUUACUACAACUUUGCACUGGCAUUCGUGACGGUAUGUGUAGGAUAGGUGGUAGGCUUUGAAGCAUGGGCGCUAGCUUGUGUGGAGCCAUCCUUGAAAUACCACCCUUACUGUUAUGGAUGUCUAACCGCGGCCCGUCAUCCGGGUCCGGGACCGUGCAUGGUGGGUAGUUUGACUGGGGCGGUCGCCUCCUAAAGAGUAACGGAGGCGCGCGAUGGUGGGCUCAGAGCGGUCGGAAAUCGCUCGUCGCGUGCAAUGGCAUAAGCCCGCUUGACUGCGAGACAGACACGUCGAGCAGAGACGAAAGUCGGUCAUAGUGAUCCGGUGGUCCCGAGUGGAAGGGCCAUCGCUCAACGGAUAAAAGGUAC